CACACUAUCAUUAACUGAAUCCAUAGGUUAAUGAGGCGAACCGGGGGAACUGAAACAUCUAAGUACCCCGAGGAAAAGAAAUCAACCGAGAUUCCCCCAGUAGCGGCGAGCGAACGGGGAGGAGCCCAGAGCCUGAAUCAGUGUGUGUGUUAGUGGAAGCGUCUGGAAAGGCGCGCGAUACAGGGUGACAGCCCCGUACACAAAAAUGCACAUGCUGUGAGCUCGAUGAGUAGGGCGGGACACGUGGUAUCCUGUCUGAAUAUGGGGGGACCAUCCUCCAAGGCUAAAUACUCCUGACUGACCGAUAGUGAACCAGUACCGUGAGGGAAAGGCGAAAAGAACCCCGGCGAGGGGAGUGAAAAAGAACCUGAAACCGUGUACGUACAAGCAGUGGGAGCCUCUUAAUGGGGUGACUGCGUACCUUUUGUAUAAUGGGUCAGCGACUUAUAUUCUGUAGCAAGGUUAACCGAAUAGGGGAGCCGAAGGGAAACCGAGUCUUAACUGGGCGUUAAGUUGCAGGGUAUAGACCCGAAACCCGGUGAUCUAGCCAUGGGCAGGUUGAAGGUUGGGUAACACUAACUGGAGGACCGAACCGACUAAUGUUGAAAAAUUAGCGGAUGACUUGUGGCUGGGGGUGAAAGGCCAAUCAAACCGGGAGAUAGCUGGUUCUCCCCGAAAGCUAUUUAGGUAGCGCCUCGUGAAUUCAUCUCCGGGGGUAGAGCACUGUUUCGGCAAGGGGGUCAUCCCGACUUACCAACCCGAUGCAAACUGCGAAUACCGGAGAAUGUUAUCACGGGAGACACACGGCGGGUGCUAACGUCCGUCGUGAAGAGGGAAACAACCCAGACCGCCAGCUAAGGUCCCAAAGUCAUGGUUAAGUGGGAAACGAUGUGGGAAGGCCCAGACAGCCAGGAUGUUGGCUUAGAAGCAGCCAUCAUUUAAAGAAAGCGUAAUAGCUCACUGGUCGAGUCGGCCUGCGCGGAAGAUGUAACGGGGCUAAACCAUGCACCGAAGCUGCGGCAGCGACACUAUGUGUUGUUGGGUAGGGGAGCGUUCUGUAAGCCUGUGAAGGUGGCCUGUGAGGGUUGCUGGAGGUAUCAGAAGUGCGAAUGCUGACAUAAGUAACGAUAAAGCGGGUGAAAAGCCCGCUCGCCGGAAGACCAAGGGUUCCUGUCCAACGUUAAUCGGGGCAGGGUGAGUCGACCCCUAAGGCGAGGCCGAAAGGCGUAGUCGAUGGGAAACAGGUUAAUAUUCCUGUACUUGGUGUUACUGCGAAGGGGGGACGGAGAAGGCUAUGUUGGCCGGGCGACGGUUGUCCCGGUUUAAGCGUGUAGGCUGGUUUUCCAGGCAAAUCCGGAAAACCAAGGCUGAGGCGUGAUGACGAGGCACUACGGUGCUGAAGUGACAAAUGCCCUGCUUCCAGGAAAAGCCUCUAAGCAUCAGGUAACAUCAAAUCGUACCCCAAACCGACACAGGUGGUCAGGUAGAGAAUACCAAGGCGCUUGAGAGAACUCGGGUGAAGGAACUAGGCAAAAUGGUGCCGUAACUUCGGGAGAAGGCACGCUGAUAUGUAGGUGAAGCGACUUGCUCGUGGAGCUGAAAUCAGUCGAAGAUACCAGCUGGCUGCAACUGUUUAUUAAAAACACAGCACUGUGCAAACACGAAAGUGGACGUAUACGGUGUGACGCCUGCCCGGUGCCGGAAGGUUAAUUGAUGGGGUUAGCGGUAACGCGAAGCUCUUGAUCGAAGCCCCGGUAAACGGCGGCCGUAACUAUAACGGUCCUAAGGUAGCGAAAUUCCUUGUCGGGUAAGUUCCGACCUGCACGAAUGGCGUAAUGAUGGCCAGGCUGUCUCCACCCGAGACUCAGUGAAAUUGAACUCGCUGUGAAGAUGCAGUGUACCCGCGGCAAGACGGAAAGACCCCGUGAACCUUUACUAUAGCUUGACACUGAACAUUGAGCCUUGAUGUGUAGGAUAGGUGGGAGGCUUUGAAGUGUGGACGCCAGUCUGCAUGGAGCCGACCUUGAAAUACCACCCUUUAAUGUUUGAUGUUCUAACGUUGGCCCCUAAUCGGGGUUGCGGACAGUGUCUGGUGGGUAGUUUGACUGGGGCGGUCUCCUCCUAAAGAGUAACGGAGGAGCACGAAGGUUGGCUAAUCCUGGUCGGACAUCAGGAGGUUAGUGCAAUGGCAUAAGCCAGCUUGACUGCGAGCGUGACGGCGCGAGCAGGUGCGAAAGCAGGUCAUAGUGAUCCGGUGGUUCUGAAUGGAAGGGCCAUCGCUCAACGGAUAAAAGGUACUCCGGGGAUAACAGGCUGAUACCGCCCAAGAGUUCAUAUCGACGGCGGUGUUUGGCACCUCGAUGUCGGCUCAUCACAUCCUGGGGCUGAAGUAGGUCCCAAGGGUAUGGCUGUUCGCCAUUUAAAGUGGUACGCGAGCUGGGUUUAGAACGUCGUGAGACAGUUCGGUCCCUAUCUGCCGUGGGCGCUGGAGAACUGAGGGGGGCUGCUCCUAGUACGAGAGGACCGGAGUGGACGUAUCACUGGUGUUCGGGUUGUCAUGCCAAUGGCACUGCCCGGUAGCUAAAUGCGGAAGAGAUAAGUGCUGAAAGCAUCUAAGCACGAAACUUGCCCCGAGAUGAGUUCUCCCUGAGACUUAGAGUCUCCUGAAGGAACGUUGAAGACGACGACGUUGAUAGGCCGGGUGUGUAAGCGCAGCGAUGCGUUGAGCUAACCGGUACUAAUGAACCGUGAGGCUUAACCUU
rnacentral:rRNA from 3 species